UACGUAGGGUGCGAGCGUUGUCCGGAAUCACUGGGCGUAAAGGGCGCGUAGGCGGUUGGGGAAGUCCGUGGUGAAAGCUCGUGGCUCAACUACGAGUCGGCCAUGGAUACUCCUUGACUUGAGCACUGUAGAGGCAGAUGGAAUUUCCGGUGGAGCGGUGAAAUGCAUUGAGAUCGGAAAGAACACCAACGGCGAAAGCACUCUGCUGGGCCGACACUGACACUGAGAGACGAAAGCUAGGGGAGCAAAUGGG
rnacentral:rRNA from 1 species